rnacentral:lncRNA from 1 species
AAAUCUCCCUCCCCCUCUCUCAACAUUUCCAGAAACUGGCCACACGCCGACGAGCUCUCGCGGUGGCUCCGCCGUAUCCCCGCCGUAGCGCCGCCAUGCCGGAGGGCCAAAAAUGCCCCAAACACAAAUUUUUUUUAAAAAAAAUCCAUUUUCCUAAAAUAUAUACCCGAUUUGGGUAUUUUGAAACCAAAAAACAAAAGAAAAAAAAAAGGAAGGGCCUUUCGGCCUCUGUCACUUCGGCCGCCGCCUAAGCGAAAUCCUAAUGGGUUUUUGCGGCCUCGAAAAGCAGAGGGGAACUCCCGACGGUGGUGCUAUGCCCGGCCACAGGUAUGCUCCCUCCUCUUUCUUUUUAUUCUAUGCACCUUUUUUAUUAAAAUAGAUUUGUAAAAAUAAUAAAUAAAUAAAAAUGGAAAACAAAGAAAAAACCCCGAAAAGAUUUAAAUCAACACCUUUUAUUGCUUCUAAUAUUCGUGAAAUUGCCAGAAGAGAGAACUAUUGUUCAUUGUGGCUUUUUAUAGCCAUUUUACAACUUUUUGUUUCUAUUUUCUUGUUUUUUUCUGUUGUAUGCUUCUGUUGUCUUCUUGUGCUGGCGUGUUUAUAGCUCUCUGCAGGUGUCUGACACGCGUGGAGGGCCAACGAUUGGUGACGGUGGCGGUGGCGUGCGUGAGGGAGCCUGGCAGAGCACGCAGCGCUGGGGCUGGGCAGAAGCAGGAGCGGCGGCCAGUAGCUACUAGGGUUCUCUGCUGCUGAAAAUUUUUAGUUUCCUGGGCUAGAGUUUUUUAUUUUUGGGCCUGUUGAGUGUAAUUUGGGCCAUUGUUUUUAUUUUUUACUGGGCCAGUAAAUUUGGGCUUCUACAGUAAAUAUGAAGAGUAAUCUUAGAAGUUUGUAAUUUGAUAAGUUUUAAUUUUGUAAUUUUAAAGGAUUGACACAAUCCUUUAAGAAUAUCAAUUAUAGAUAAGUUUUAUUUUUGACCGUCAAUGUAUAGUAAACUGUAUCGUUGGAUUUAGGGAAACUCAAUUGUAAUAGAGUUUUCCCCUUUAUUUGUAAUUACUCAAUUAUAAUCAUUUAUGGUAAUUAAAUACUAUUUAAGUAUUUACUCAAA